rnacentral:tRNA from 1 species
AAAAACUUAGUUAAAUAAUAACCUUAGCUUGUCAAGCUAAAAUUAACUAAAAUGUUAGUUUUUA